GGGUGUGGAGCUCAGUGGUAGAGCACUUGCUUAGCAUGUGAGAAUCCCUGGGUUUGAUCCCUAGCACCA
rnacentral:tRNA from 1 species